GGGUUAGGAGUGCAAAUUAGUAAAAAUUACCUCAAGAAGACGAAAGUUGAUACCCGAAGAGGACCAGUUAUGAACCUGGGUCGAAAUCAGAUCCCAAGGCACAUAACCAUACUCUGACGAGGAUUCAAGGAUUCCUUGGCAGAUCGGAGAGUGGGGUUUGAUAGAAGAUUGCAUAGGGUUUCUAUAGGCAUUGAUUUUGGGUGAUUUGGAGUUGUUAUGACUUUGUAAGAGCUUUGCAAAGUCAAGGUUUCUUACGGAUGAUUUGGGUUUUAUGAAAUAAAAUAAGGUUUAUGUUUUGGGUGAUUUCAAGAGUUUUGUAAUAGAUCUAUAAAUGAAAUUUUUUGGGUUUAUGGUUAUAGUUGUGUUUAAUAUGUAUCAUAAAAUUAAGCUCGAUCUAACGGUUAAAUUGAGGAAUAUUGAGGUUUAAGUGGGUCAAGGUCUCAGAAAGUAGAACUUUAGGACCAGUGGGGGUUUUUAAUAUUACUUGCAAUCAACUAAUUGGAUUAGAAUGAAACUUAUGUAAGAGGAUAUGAGACUUGUUUUUCUAUGC
rnacentral:lncRNA from 1 species